UACGAAGGGGGCUAGCGUUGUUCGGAAUUACUGGGCGUAAAGGGCGCGCAGGCGGCCCUCCAAGUCAGUGGUGAAAGCCCGGAGCUCAACUCCGGAAUUGCCAUUGAAACUGUUGGACUUGAGGAUGAGAGAGGUGAGUGGAAUUCCCAGUGUAGAGGUGAAAUUCGUAGAUAUUCGGAAGAACACCAGUGGCGAAGGCGACUUACUGGACACAUAUUGACGCUGAGGUGCGAAAGCGUGGGGAGCAAACAGG
rnacentral:rRNA from 1 species